UUUUUUUUAUCAGGACCCAAACUAAUAGUAAGAACAUCAUAAUAUUCAGUAUGCUAAAAAGAAGUGUUAUGAAAGCGGCAGGGGCGGGUCCAGCCAUUUUAAAAAGGGGGGUCCUAACCCUGGACAAAAGGGGAGGGGGUUCCAACUACAUGUCCCCAUCCAAAUGCACUGAUCGUCCAAAAAAGGAGGUCCAUCCCCCUGAACCCCCGCCCCCUGGAUCCGCCACUGAGCGGGUACGGUAUUUAGCUCAAUACAUUUUUCAUAGUUUCAUCCAUCGAUAAUAUCCGUUUGUUGCUAAUUUUAUCACAAAAUAUACCUCAGAGGUUUUUUUAUCGUUCGGCUGCUGUCCUGUUGACAUAUAUAUGUAAAAUAUCUCCAAUAUUAAAAGUCUCUGGAUCAUAGUGGGUGCCAUAUUACCUAUUAUUUUUUUUCUAAAACGUGCUAUGUAUAUAGAAAUAAGAAGAUGAGGUAUGAGUGCCAAAUGAGACAUCCCGCAAAGUGGAAAGGGAUUAAUAUAAGUUGGAAAACUUGUUUCCCAAUCCACUAUAAAUAAAUAUGUUUAAACUAAACUAAAUGAGACAUCUUUCCAACAAAGACAUAAUUUAGUAAAGUAAGCAGUCAUAGGUCCAAUGCUGAAAAGUAAGCUAUUAAUGACCCAAAAAUUACUUGUGUAAAACAAUCCAAACAAAAAAACCUAAAAAAAACCGGCUCAAUUAAAUAUAUAAAAGGAC
rnacentral:lncRNA from 1 species